rnacentral:rRNA from 1 species
UACAGAGGUCUCAAGCGUUGUUCGGAUUCAUUGGGCGUAAAGGGUGCGUAGGCGGUUCGGUAAGUUGGGUGUGAAAUCUCGAGGCUCAACCUCGAAACUGCACCCAAUACUACCGGGCUGGAGUACUGGAGAGGAAGCUGGAAUUCACGGUGUAGCAGUGAAAUGCGUAGAUAUCGUAAAGAAGACCAGUGGCGAAAGCGAGCUUCUGGACAGUUACUGACGCUGAGGCACGAAAGCCAAGGGAGCAAAC